rnacentral:rRNA from 1 species
CAGCAGCCGCGGUAAUACGUAGGGUGCAAGCGUUGUCCGGAUUUAUUGGGCGUAAAGAGCUCGUAGGCGGUUAGUCACGUCGGAUGUGAAAACUCAGUGCUUAACACUGAGCCUGCAUUCGAUACGGGCUGACUAGAGUAUUGUAGGGGAGACUGGAACUCCUGGUGUAGCGGUGAAAUGCGCAGAUAUCAGGAAGAACACCGGUGGCGAAGGCGGGUCUCUGGGCAAUUACUGACGCUGAGGAGCGAAAGCGUGGGGAGCAAACAGGAUUAGAUACCCUGGUAGUCCACGCCGUAAACGGUGGGCGCUAGGUGUGGGGAACAUUCCACGUUCUCUGUGCCGCAGCUAACGCAUUAAGCACCCCGCCUGGGGAGUACGGCCGCAAGGCUAAAACUCAAAGGAAUUGACGGGCGCCCGCACAAGCUGCAGAACAUGCGGCUUAAUUCGAUGCAACGCGAAGAACCUUACCUAGGCUUGACAGUCAGGGAAAACUGGUAGAGAUGCCAGGUGCCGAAAGGCGUCCUUGAAACAGGUGGUGCAUGGCUGUCGUCAGCUCGUGUCGUGAGAUGUUGGGUUAAGUUCCGCAACGAGCGCAACCUUCGUCGUAUGUUGCCAGCAUUUAAUGUUGGGGACUCAUACGAGACUGCCCGGGUCAACUCGGAAGAAGGUGGGGAUGACGUCAAGUCAUCAUGCCCCUUAUGUCUACGGCUGCACGCAUGCUACAAUGGCUGGUACAAAGGGCUGCAAUAACGCGAGGUGGAGCGAAUCCCAAAAAGCCAGUCUCAGUUCGGAUUAGGGUCUGCAACUCGUCCCCAUGAAGUCGGAGUCGCUAGUAAUCGCAGAUCAGCAAAGCGGCGGUGAAUAUGUUCCCGGGCGUUGUACACACCGCCCGUCACGUCACGAAAGUAAGCGACACCCGAAGCGUGUAGAGCAACCGCAAGCGGAGCGAGCUGUAGAAGGCGGGAUCGGUGAUUGGGACGAAGUCGUAACAAGGUAGCCGUA